UGAUAUUGAAAUAACCUAGGAACAACGUUACCCCAUGUUGCACCCUAUUACUCAGUUCUUGGUGUCUCUACUUUUUCAUUAAAAGAAACUAAAGAUCUUUGGAGAAACAUCUGUCUAUGCAUGGUCUAGACAUAUAGCUUGGACAGUUUGGAUCCUCUUCUGCCAGAAAGCAAGAAAUCUUUCAAAAUAAAUGAAGUCAUAUCAGAGAGACAGGAACCUGCUUAAAUGAAGCCACCACUAGUCAAAGUUGUGACAUUAAAAAAGCCAAAGUUGCAACAAAUCAUCUAGUCAACUUAUAUACAUUUAAUCUAUUAAAAAACCAUGAUUCCCUAAUGAUGAACAAAAAGAAAAAAAAAUCACAUGAAGUAUUUGAAAGAAGAUGAAGGGACUAGAAUUUAUUACUGCUAAGCCUUGUUUUUUACUCAGUAUUAUUGACUUGCUUAUUGUACCUGUAAAGAUUACAGAAAUUAGCUGAUCCUCAAUGUAUCAGUUCGAUGGCAUCUUCUGACAUAAGGUAAGAAUGUCAGUAGAAAGACUCCAUAACUUGUGACUAUAAGUCAGUCAAUAGCCAAAUUCCAAAAUUCAUUUGCAUCACUUUUUAAACGAUGCAAAUGGGAAAGAAUGUGUCUUGUGCAAAUGUCUUUAAAGGAAAAUGGAAAAGGCAAAUGCCACCACGGGGAGCAAAAGAAGUUCAUUUCCACAGAUGGAGCAGGACGAGAAGAUUUGAAGGAGCAACAGCAAGGCUGUCGGCUGAGCCUGCUCGUGCACAUUGAAACAAAACCCCAAAAGACAACAGGAUGGGACAAAUCUUCAGACAAAAAUAAAUGCAAGCAAAAGCGAAAAGGUUGUGAUGGCUCACUAAGAAACAAUAGAAGACUGCCUGCAGGAACCAGAGAAGCUAAAAGUGAAGUCCAGUUAGUGUCAUAUACCAGCUCUCACCUAUGGUCCUUGGAUGUCUCUUCUUGCUAAUCCAGAGGCCCUUCCUAUGGUCAAGGACAGGACCUUCCUGUGAAGAUGUUUCUUCUUCAGUCAUCUUUGAGCAAGAGGAACAGAUCUGAGGACCUUAGACUUAAAGAAUGCUUUUGGAGGCAUCAGAGAACAACUGAGGCUAUUAGGAUUAGUGGGAUCAAAUCCUGGAAACAAGAGCAAUGCAUUGAUGCAAACAUGACCUUCUUUGCUGGUGGUCCUC